UUUUAGAUUCUUCAUAGACCCAGAAGUAUUUACCAAUCAGGAGCGAGGUUCAGUGGAAAAUCUAGUAAUGUUGUCCAACUGUUGAGUCUGCUGAAUGCAGCCACUCAUUACGCUCAGUGGAGAAAACCACUCAGUGAGCGAUUGCUCAACCGUUGAAUGUCGUGCACUCAAUUCUUACAUUUUAAAAAAUCAGCGGAGGGAUAAAUACACAGUGCAAGUCAUUCAAAUGGGAAUGCGUCUUUUGCAAGGUAUUGAACAGGCGUGCUCCGCAGGCGGAGCAGCAGCUCAUCUUUCUCGAGAUGGGAUGCGUCCCGAAAGUCAUUAAAAAAAAGUGACAACCUUUAUGUCCGCGACCGUACAUACAUGUAGUAUUAGGGCUGUUACGUCCUGGACAAGCAUAGAACAUGCAAUGUCUAUAUUUAUUUGGUUUACUUCGGAUCAGCGCUAUUCUUGUCCAAAUCUUUAUUAUUUGAAUCUGUUGCUUUUGGAGAUUUUAUUCUCGGAACCGAAGAUUUUGAUGGAUCUGUUUUGAAAACAGCCAGGUCGAGCGUACCUGGAUUAUAAUAACUUUUUAACAGACGUCUAAAUUGUAUCCGCCGUCCGGCUCUUCUUGUUCUUUUCGGCAUGAGAGAUUUUUAGCACAAUAUUCUUAAAGUAAAGAAGAGAAGAACUGUGCUCGUGGUUCAAGCACUACGUUCUGGGAAAAAGGGAGGAAUGGUGCUCGUGGUUCAAGCACAACACUCUUAAGGUAAAAAAAAGAAGAACAGUGCUCGUAGUUCAAGCACGGCGUUCUGAAAAAAGAAUGAAGAUAAUAAGAGGGAAGAGAGGCUCAAGACCCUUUGGCAACCGGCUAACAAGAGGCUCAGCGAAAGACUAUCUGAUGGCUAAUUGGAGGCUAACAAGAGACUGCUUAGAGACUGCCGAGAGACUGCCUAGAGACUGACUAGAGACUGACGAGAGACUGCUUAGAGACUGACGAGAGACUGCCUGCGCGCGAAGAGCCGAACCCUUUUUAUACCCAAGCCCGACACUAUGGAUAUCAAUUGAGCGUCUUUUCCUAAUUCACCAUUCGUUAUUUAUUGGUUAAAAAAUAUAAAAAUGUUAUUAUCUAGUAAUUAAAAUUAUACUUAAUCAUAUGUAGCGUUUGGUAAUUCAGUUAUCUCGUUGUUGGCUGAUUUAUUAAUAAAAUUAUGUUUUACUAAGAAAUGGAAAUGUUGUUAUUGAUUUCCUUUGGUAUAAUAUAAGAAUUUGGAAACUUAAAAGAAUUAUUUCAUUCGGGCGUAGUAAUCA